GACGAACGCUGGCGGCGUGCUUAACACAUGCAAGUCGAACGGAAAGGCCCUGCUUUUGUGGGGUUCUCGAGUGGCGAACGGGUGAGUAACACGUGAGUAACCUGCCCUUGACUUUGGGAUAACUUCAGGAAACUGGGGCUAAUACCGGAUAGGAGCUCCUGCUGCAUGGUGGGGGUUGGAAAGUUUCGGCGGUUGGGGAUGGACUCGCGGCUUAUCAGCUUGUUGGUGGGGUAGUGGCUUACCAAGGCUUUGACGGGUAGCCGGCCUGAGAGGGUGACCGGCGACAUUGGGACUGAGAUACGGCCCAGACUCCUACGGGAGGCAGCAGUGGGGAAUAUUGCACAAUGGGCGGAAGCCUGAUGCAGAAACGCCGCGUGCGGGAUGACGGCCUUCGGGUUGUAAACCGCUUUCGCCUGUGACGAAGCGUGAGUGACGGUAAUGGGUAAAGAAGCACCGGCUAACUACGUG
rnacentral:rRNA from 1 species